ensembl:lncRNA
UAAUUCAGCACCAAGUAGUUGUGGUUCUGUUGACAAAAACUAAUGGGAAAACACUAAUAAUAUAAUAUAAUAUAAUAUAAUAUAAUAUAAUAUAAUAUAAUAUAAUAUNAUAAUAUAUAAAUAUUUCAAUUUAAUUUAUAAUCUUAUAAUACAACUAAAAUAAUUGUAUAAAUAAUGUCUAAAAUUAUUUGAAUCCUUAUGAGACAAGCAAACACAUUAACAACCUGAGAUGUCUUUCUUUGCUCUUUCUGUUUUCAAAAUUGCACUAAACAGGAAGACAGACAGGAAGUGGUAGCCUAAAGCAUUUUAUCUAUGUGAUCAAGACUUAGCCGUGUUAGUCAUGAAGGAGAAACGCUAAAGAAAAUUCUGUAUGUUACAUACGUAGGAUUAUUUUAAACUAAAAGUGGAAUUGGAAAAGUGAGAUUGUGACAGAUUUCCAAUGUGGGGUCAGCAAGUUCAGAGGUUACGUGACUUUACAGAGGAGCUUCUGUCACACCGUCUUUUACCAUGACAAGAUCAGGUGCCUUAAAACUUUGCAUCCUCUUCUUUCUCACCUUCAUCCUGUGUCUACCAGAGUUUUUUCCAAAAAUAUCACAAAUUGAGUUUCUCUGUGAGCCCUUUGACCCUUGCACACCUGAGAAUGAUACACAGGUGUGUGCUCCAUAUGACCCUCCAUGUGUGACAGAAAUGAUAAAUGCCAGCAGCCAACACACACGUUCUGAAGGCUGGUAUCUGUGUAAAACUGAAAUGGAUCUGCAGCUUCUCCAGAACAAUACCUCACCGUCAGGUGAGAUAGUUGUUUAUCAUCAUUUCAUGUUUGAGUAUUACUGCUACAUGUACAUCGUCUACAGUAAUAACUGUGUGCAUGUUGUACAUUUCAUAGAAGAGCAUGUGAUGGUGCUACUGACAAUGAAGGCAGGCAAUCACUCUGGAUGGAACAUUAGUGAAUUUAUGUUUCUCAACAACACUGAUCUAUACACUGCUGGACCCCAAAAUGACCAGAGACUGUUUUAUUGCAACCUCCCACCAGACAACAGCAAAUGUCCAGAUCUGAACAUAUCCAUGCAAGAAAAAAACACCAGCCCUCCAAUACAAGACCCCUCCAUUUUAAAAACCAAUACUUCUGUAAACCCAACUGCCUUUUCACUCAAAACAACUACACUGUCUUUCCAAGAAACACCUUCUACAGAUGAGCUGAAGUGUCAACCAACCAGCAGCAGUUUCCUCUUUUACUACCAGAUGAACAAUGAAACAGCAAGAUCUGCCGCAUUACCAGUGACCCAAACAAGAAAAGAUGGCUGGUGGUGUGUGAUUACUUCGGUGUGGUUGGCUCUGGUACUGACUGUGAUUGUGGUAACCCUAUUGAGUGUGGGCAACAUGAUCUUUAAGAGCAGAAAACGAAAGUCCGGUUUGGUUGCAUCUGUGCCGGUUUCAGCCCGUGGACGUCAGCUCAAAGAGCUCAGUAAACAAAAAGAAAAUUUAAUGAGUGCUGUCCCUGCUGUGUCCAUAGCAAUGUGCUGCUUAAGUGAUGGGGAUGUAUUCUAUGAGAAACCGUCAAUGGGGAACAGAACAGAAGGUAAACAAACAACCUGUUCUAUCAUACUGCACUCUUUUUACCCAGAAGAAAUCUGUGCUUUAUCAAAAUGCAACCCUUACAUCUUUACCUGGCACUGAGUUUCCUUACUCGAAUAGAAAUUCUCCAGACCACUAACUCUCAAUCUACACUUUCUCAGAAAACCUUCUGAAGGUAGCUGACCUUACAUACAAGAGAAGUAAGUUAUUGGAUAUUUUUUUAUACAGUGUGACAGAGUACAGUAAUUAAACGGGAAGUGUCUGUAAUGGUGGCAGACUCCCGAAAAGCAACUCAACCUAAAACAAUUUUGGGCGCCAUGCAAACAGAUUGAAAACUCUGUCAUCAUUUACUCACCUCAUGCUGUUCCAACCAGUUUGACUUCCUUCUGUGGGAUAUAAAUAAAGAAUUUUUUGCAAAUGUUCA